UAUUUUUGAAAUUUAAAAGUAUAGCAGUGCGAAUGUGAUGGUUUUACUAUAUUAUCAUAGGUAAUGCGUUUUUCUCGUACUUCUUCAUUCCUGUAAACUAGUUUUUGCGAUAAUUGGGGAAAACGUUUACGCAAGAAAAUUUACGCAAUAACGGUUUCGGUUAUUCUCGAUUUCGAUUCGGUUUCACCGUAUACAUUAUAUUAUAUUAUCCCAGAAAUUCGU